rnacentral:misc_RNA from 1 species
UUUAUUGAACUUAAUACAUUUUUCUUUGAAAUAGCUUCUAAUUUUACCGUUUUGGCUGUUUCUGCUCUUGUCGGCGGAGGGGCUAUUCUUGCAGCACCAGUGGUUCUAUCUGCUGCUGGAUUCACAGCGGCUGGUAUUGGUGCUGGCUCUCUUGCUGCUGGUGUGCAGGCGUCCGUGUACGGAGGGGCUACUUCUGGUGUAAUAUCAGUCUUUCAAAGUGCUGGAAUGGCUGGGUUGUCUGUUGCUGGAAAAGCUGUGAUUGGAACUGCAGGUUCAGCAGCCACAUAUUAUUUGUUUAAGUAGCGUAAUUGGAUUUCUUCUACACCAGGAAUAAACUUAAAACGUGUUCACCAAGUAGGGAUUUUACAUGCGAGUUUUGUUGAUAUGAUUGAGCGCAAUCUGUUAUCAAGUUCCCCUGUUUCUUUCUAUAAGCUACUUUCUAGUGACAAUACAGAUGGAACUGAUCAAAUGAGUAGUAUGAAAUACCGUUUUUGUUUUUUUUUCAUUUUUUCCUCAAACUCAACCCUAUCUAAGCAUUUCUCGCGACCCUAAUUGCUAAAUUAUACCCAAGUGACACUUAAACUCAAUUACCCUGGAAAAAAAACUUUGUACAACAUUAACCCUGAAAUAAAAAGUUUUUUAUGAGCACGGAUUGUUGUUUUACUCUCGGUACCGGUAAUUAUGUCGGUAAGAUUUUUACCCCUUACAUUUUUGCUGCUGGUAAUUUUGCCGAAUGACAUGUUUGCUGUGUUUGUAUGUUUUAUAUUCUCGGUUUCAACAUUACUGUUGUGCCUCUAUCAGAUUAUUAAUUAUGUAGAUAGGAGAAGAAUCAAAAAGGAAAAUAUUAGAGAUGCGAAUUCUGGCUCUUUUUAGAGAACUGGCUCUUUCAGAUCGGCUCACAAAAAGGAGCCGUCUUAGCGGUCCCAAACGACACUUAAUAAAGAAUGAAAAAGAAGGAAUUUGUACUGUUUAUAGUUUAUAAGGAGCAAGGAAUCACAGAUCUGCGAUGAUGAGUCUAUUUCUAAAGGACUCAUUGAUUUGUGGCACAUUAAUGAAUCAUAGUCGUGGUCUUAGUUGAAGCUUGAAGAAAUGGAAAAAACUCCAUCGAUAGAAAGAAAGGAUGAAUCAUAGUUCUUGUCCGAAGAUGUUGGAAUGCCUCUUAUUUCUCUUACUAUCAACGAGAUUAAAUAGUUCACGAAGGUGCAUCUCUUUUCUUGGAUUCAUCCCACUUGGUCUUAGUCUUAUCUCAUCGUGUAAUAUAUUUAAACAUCGGCUCGACUUCCCUCUCAAGCUGGAAAUCGCCAAAUAAUCUUAUCAGGACAAACUAUUUUAGAAUAUCUCCAUCUAUCCCAGAUGGUCUAUAAAAUCAUCAUGCUGGACUAUCUCUUUAUAAUUAUCUCAUGUAUAUAUUUCCUGACUCUAUCACUCUCCAGAAGCCUAUUUUCCCUCUUGGCUCAAUGAAGAGCCUUACCUGGUCAACUUUGUUCGGAUCAUUGCUUAUGAGAAGAAAACAUGUGUCAUGGAGGAUUCAAUUCAUUUUCUCUUUCGUUUUGGAGUAUGACUUUUGAUCUAUUAAUUCUUAAUUUACUACUUUUUACUUAACAUGAUUCUGCAUUUUUAAUUUAUGUACCACCUAUGUACUUAUAGAUCAGCUCUUGAGGAGCCGAUGUCUUAGUCUCAUGUCUAAUUUUUUAUACUCAUGUCAUUUGUUAUAGCUCAUAUAAAUUACAUAUGUUGUAAUUAAA